GAUCUUAUAGCUCAGUUGGUAGAGCACAACACUUUUAAUGUUGGAGUCAUGGGUUCGAGUCCCAUUGGGAUCA
rnacentral:tRNA from 1 species